UACGGAGGGUGCAAGCGUUGUCCGGAUUUAUUGGGUUUAAAGGGUGCGUAGGCGGCCGCUUAAGUCAGCUUUGAAAGCUGGUCGCUCAACGAUCAGGGGUGGGUUGAUACUGGGGGGCUUGGGUCAGGUGGCGGUUUCUGGAACGGGUCGUGUAGCGGUGAAAUGCAUAGAUAUGACCCAGAACUCCGAUUGCGAAGGCAGGAGGCUACGCCUGGAUUGACACUGAGGCACGAGAGCAUGGGGAGCAAACAGG
rnacentral:rRNA from 1 species